UCAUUUCAGAGUGGUGCAUGUUGAUGGAU
rnacentral:piRNA from 1 species